GACGAACGCUGGCGGCGUGCCUAAUACAUGCAAGUCGAACGGAGUGGCGCACGGGUGAGUAAUAUAUAGCUAAUCCGCCCCUUGCUGGAGGACAAAAGUUAGAAAUGACUGCUAAUACUCCAUAGCAAGGGAUGAGACUAUAUCGUAUCAGCUAGUCGGUGGGGUAACGGCCUACCGAGGCUAUGACGCUUAACUGGUCUGAGAGGAUGAUCAGUAACAGUGGAACUGAGACACGGUCCAAACUCCUACGGGGUGCAGCAGUUUGGAAGAUUGCGCAAUGGGGGAAACCCUGAUGCAGCGACGACGCGUGGGGGAUGAAGGCUUUCGGGUUGUAAACCUCUUCGAGCGAACAAGGGGUAGGUGGAGAAGAAGCCACGGCUAACUACGUGCCAGCAGCCGCGGUAAUAC
rnacentral:rRNA from 1 species